GCAUGUCGUUGGAAGCCCAAGCUCAACUGUGUCCCUGAGGGGAUGUCCAGGUUGCUGUCCUGCUGUAAACUGGGGCGGUUCCCAGGGCCCAAAAGGAGUGCCUGGGAGAUUCCGCUGGGUCUCACAGACCUUCCAGAAGUAUGUACGCAGCAUCCAAUGCAGCAGCAGCAGCAGCCUUGCACUUUGCCAUCAUCCCUCGACCCCUGUCUGUCUCCUUUCGUUUAUGACUGCUGAAGAUUUUUGCAUGAAAACGCGGUUUUCUUGGUCUUCUGAGGGCUUGGCUUCCUGCUGCUGAUCCUCACCUGAAGCCAUAAUUCUCCAUUUGUGGCUCAAUAACUGGCUCCCAGGGUGCAUCUCUUCGGCUCUGACCGUGUGCCCAGCAUUGUGUCUGGUGUCCCAAUAACACUAAAGAGACAGAAGACAGGCAUCAUCUCAGCCUUUGGGAAGCUUCUCCUACAGACACGGAGAUAAAGUGAACAUCUCAAAGCAUCUUACUCUUUUUCUUCAAGUGGGAAGUGAGGAGCUUGUUUUUAUCACAUGUAUCCUCUUACUACAUGGGAACUCUCUCUCUCUGCUAAUUGCUGUCAGGAUCCAUCAAGAUCACCGACAGAGCAGCAUUCCAGCCAGAGGGGCCUUGCAGCCCAGUUUUUCAGAGUCAGCGUAUUACAACUAGAUGGAUCCUAUCUAAGGCUUAUCUUAAAGAUGGAGAACCUAAGCUAUGCUGCUAAUGAAGAUCAAUGCUGGAGCACCAAAAGAAAAGAAGAAGGAGGUCAUGCCAUCUGGCCACCACUGCCCAUCCUUCUCGAAUGCCCACCAGGUGACCCAGCACCCAAAUGGCAUCAGUCAGAAGCAGUUAGGUUGGGAAUCCUAGCCGCACCCGCUUCUGUGCACUCUUCGUUUCCUCCUGUUUCAAUGCACGACGCUUCCUGCCUCCAUCAGAGGGGACUCGCACUUGCGGUCUUCAUUACAGGUUCAUCCUCCACUGGGAUGAUUUGUGUUCUAAAAUCUCCCGCCUUUACCACGGACCCAGUAGCUUCAGGUAUUUGCCUCUGCUCUUAUCACAGGGUCUCGUCUUCAAUGGACGUUGACCUCAUCAUCACCCACUCCGUCUUUUGCUGCCACCAUUUGGGCGGAACGUGACACCCACCCACUCCGCUACAGCCACUGCUUUGUCAGCUCAUCAUCAGCCUCCAAGCUGGUGAGUUCCGGGGUCUCUUCCGUGUCAUUAAGUCUAUUUUCCAGUCAUGUGGCCGGUUCCUUUGGCUUCCUGAAGCCAAAGUUUUGCCAGCUGGUUUUGGCUUCACUCCCACCGCUCUCUCCAGCGCCCACUCCCGCCUCCCAGCCUGUCUUCACAAAGUCUUCUCUGCUGGAUCCCCCUCCCCUGCUCUGAUCCAAAUGUUGGAUCAGUUGUGGGUCCGCUUUUCUUCUUUACCUGCACACUCUCCUUAGGUGACCUCAUCCACUUCCGUGGCUUUAAAUACCAUCUUCAUGAUAAUGACUUCCAAAUUUAUAUCUCCAGCACUAACACCCUAAUGCUGCAGACUCAUAUAUCCUGCUAACUUGACAUUUCUACUUAGGUGACUAAUGGGUAUCUCAACUUAAUACAUUAAAAAAAAAAAGGGCUUAAUUUUCUCAACUUACUGCCAAAGUUGUUCCUCCCUUACUGUUCGCCAUCUUGGUAAAUGUCACCACCUUUUCCCCAGUGGCUCAAACUCAAGCCUGGGAGCCAUCUGUAAAUCAUCUAAGCAUUUUACUCCAACAUCCAGCCCAUAAGUGAGCCUUGUGGGGACUCUUCUUAGGAGAGACUCUGGAUCUUUUCACCUCUCUCCAUCUCCCCUGCUGCUCUGAGUGCCCCCAAAUCCACCAUUCCUUCCCUUAGCAUUUGUGACAGUCUCCUGACUGUUCUCUGUGCUACCUGUAUUGCUUCUCAGAAUUUGGUCUUUAUAUAGAACACUCAGUGUUCUUUGAAAAUUGUAAAUCAGAUCUCAUCACUUAUCUACCCAAGGACCUUAAAAAAUCCCCACUUGCAUUUAAAUUUAAACUAUUUGCCAUGCCUAACAAGUUGUUAUGUGAGCUGGUCCCAUCUAGUUUUUUUCUUUUUUUUGUGGGCAAAGGAGUUCAUUUUAUUUUUUAAUAUUUAUUUAUUUGGGUGUACCAGGUCUUAGUUGCAGCAUGCAGGAUCUUUUUCUAGUUGAAGUAUGCUGGAUCUUUGGUUGUGGCAUUCAGACUCUUAGUUGUGGCCUGUGGGAUCUAGUUCCCUGACUAGGGAUUGAACCCGGCUGCCAUGCAUUGGGAGCUAAGUGUCUUAGCCACUGGACCACCAGGGAAAUCUCCCUCCAAUCCCCCAAUCCUACCUUUGACCUCAUCUCAUACUGCACUUGACUUCUCUGAGUAUAUUUUGUCCACUCUGGUGUUUUUCCUUCCUUCUCUUCCUCCUCUCCUUCUCUUCCUUCCCUCCUUCCUUCCUUUCCUCUUCCCUCCCUCCUCUAAACAUCAAGUCCAUUUCUUCCUGACAUCCUGUGUUGAUUUUCUCUUGCCCUGUAAUAAAUGGGCAGAGGCUUAUACACUAGCACAUGUAGUUGGCUGCUUUCUCUUCUUCUUCUCAAUUUGUUGUGGGGCCCCAGACGUCUUGGGGGUGUGUGGUGGGGAACAGGGGACAGCUUAACAAAAGGACCUGACAGGGAGCAGAAUAAAGCCUUCCAGACCCUUUUUCCUUGCAGCAGAAGUCACACUCCAUGACUAAUCAGGAGCCGGAAGUCCUGAGGCUGCAGAGGACAAAAGGAAAUAUAAAUGUUACAUAAGGAUAAUAGCACCGAUCUGAAAGCUCUGCAAUUGGGAGAAGCAUCUCUGUACCCUCCCUCAGCCUCCAGAGCUUCCUUCUCUCCUGUGAAAAGUUUCAGUUUUGGAGCUGAAAACAAAAAGUGCACUCAGAAGAGAUCUGCAGAGUCUGGCCACACAGACAGACCCUGGUCUCCCCUGGGUGGGUCAGAAAAUUGAGAAGGAGAUACACGCUUUGCUCCCCUUAUAGGUGUGAGGUGCAAAAUGUUGAAUAAAUGAAAAUAAACACAGACCUAGAAGCGGGGAAGAGUGUUGGAGUCCUGGCUCUCUUAUUUCUGCACAUGUACCUGGGCAAAGUGAUUAAUCUGAGUCCCAGUUCCUCAUCUGUAAAGUAAGGACAAACACGUGUACCUGCCUGGGCUG